rnacentral:rRNA from 1 species
UUAAAUGGCCGCGGUAUAUUAACCGUGCGAAGGUAGCGCAAUCACUUGUUCUUUAAAUAAGGACCUGUAUGAAAGGAUUAACGAGGGCUUAACUGUCUCCUUUUUCUAGUCUAUAAAAUUGAUUUACCCGUGCAGAAGCGGGCGUGAUUAUACAAGACGAGAAGACCCUUUGGAACUUUAGGUAAUUUACUUUCAUAUAAAAAAUCUAAUAAAAACAUUAACACAGUGAAUAAAGCUAAAUUUACCUUAGGUUGGGGUGACCGCGGAGUAAAAAAGAACCUCCUAAUGGAUUGAAUAAUAUUUAAAUACUAGACUCACGUGUCUAUUAAACAGAAAUUCUGACCAAAAUGAUCCAGCAAUAAGCUGAUUAAUGAACUAAGCUACCCUAGGGAUAACAGCGCAAUCUCUUCUAAGAGCCCUUAUCGACGAAGGGGUUUACGACCUCGAUGUU